rnacentral:lncRNA from 1 species
AGCGAUAAAGCUUUCUUAAAGCCUUAGAGAAAAUGUAAUGCAUUGCAGUACACAGGGGUUCGGGAGAAAUGAUUCUUUUAAAGAUAUCCACAGCAAAACAUUUCAUCUUUUGCUAUGUUUUGUUGGCUCCUGGGUCUGAUCCCAGCCUGAACAACAUUACAGGCUCCUUAUGAGCUUCGCCUUUCUUUUCUUUUUAAGAAUAUAUAAUUCAGAACUUGAAGGCUUGUGAAGAGCUACAUAGACAUGCUAUCUUCUGUAUCUGUAAGAAACUAAGCCAUGAUGGUAAUACGGGUAUCUUUCAAAGCAUGAAAUGAAACCAGAAAUUACAAGGAAGGAUCAGGCUUUUUGAGCAACAGUGAUGAAACCUGAAACCAUGGAUAAUCAAGUUUUAGGAGCUGUGCCCUUCUUAAUUCAUUGCCCCUUCCCACACCUAAUCUCUCUAUUUCAAUAUCCAACAGAAAAUAGA